AUGAUGUAUCUGCUGGUUUGAGCUAGAAAAGCUGAUCCUUCAGCUCAGUGAUAAAUCACUUCCAUUCACAGCUGGAGACCAUCUUUUCAAGCCCAGAUUGGCUUAUCUUC
ensembl:miRNA gga-mir-6623 gga-mir-6623